UACGGGGGGAGCAAGCGUUGUUCGGAUUUACUGGGCGUAAAGGGCGCGUAGGCGGCCAGCACAAGUCGGUUGUGAAAUCUCCGGGCUUAACCCGGAACGGUCAGCCGAUACUGCGGGGCUAGAGUGCAGAAGGGGCAACUGGAAUUCUCGGUGUAGCGGUGAAAUGCGUAGAUAUCGAGAGGAACACCUGCGGCGAAGGCGGGUUGCUGGGCUGACACUGACGCUGAUGCGCGAAAGCUAGGGGAGCGAACGGG
rnacentral:rRNA from 1 species